rnacentral:lncRNA from 1 species
ACUGACGUCAGGCAAUAAAGACUAAUUAAAGAGGUAUAAUUAGAAAAGACGGGCGUGGCUACACAAGAUGGCUGACGGUCUUCCUUCAGCAGUGAAGAAUUUUCUACCCAUUUUGGCAUUAUUCUGAAGGGAAAAGGCUUUCUGAAGCUACUGUUUAUUUGCAUCUGGACUGUUUCUAUACCAGACUGGAUUAUGGUAGGGAGGUAGCAUUGUAGAGUGUAAUCUAAAGGAAGUAUUAAAGAUUUACCAGCCACAACAGCCUUUGGAAUGGAAGUAAAGAUGAAGAGUAUCCUACAAAAUAUCAUUGCAAAAAGUUGCAUACUGCACUUAGUCGUGGAGACUAUUUUAAUACUUGUUGUGAAACCUGCUGUACAUUGUAAUUAUUUUUUUUUGAUUGCAUAUGUGUAAUUUAGUGUAUUUUGCAUUUCAGUACUGAUAAUA